rnacentral:rRNA from 1 species
GAUGAACGCUGGCGGCGUGCCUAAUACAUGCAAGUCGAGCGAACGGACGAGAAGCUUGCCUCUCUGAUGUUAGCGGCGGACGGGUGAGUAACACGUGGAUAACCUACCUAUAAGACUGGGAUAACUUCGGGAAACCGGAGCUAAUACCGGAUAAUAUUUUGCACCGCAUGGUUCAACAGUGAAAGUCGGUCUUGCUGACACUUAUAGAUGGAUACGCGCUGCAUUAGCUAGUUGGUAAGGUAACGGCUUACCAAGGCAACGAUGCAUAGCCGACCUGAGAGGGUGAUCGGCCAGACUGGAACUGAGGCACGGUCCAGACUCCUACGGGAGGCAGCAGUAGGGAAUCUUCCGCAAUGGGCGAAAGCCUGACGGAGCAACGCCGCGUGAGUGAUGAAGGUCUUCGGAUCGUAAAACUCUGUUAUUAGGGAAGAACAUAUGUGUAAGUAACUGUGCACAUCGUGACGGUACCUAAUCAGAAAGCCACGGCUAACUACGUG